GGCACGGUGGUGUAGUGGUUAGCACUGGCUAGCACUGCUGCCUCACAGCAAGAAGGUCGUGGGUUCGAAACCAGCCUGGGGCC